rnacentral:rRNA from 1 species
AACGAACGCUGGCGGCAGGCCUAACACAUGCAAGUCGAACGCCCCGCAAGGGGAGUGGCGCACGGGUGAGUAACGCGUGGGAACCUGCCCUUCGGUUCGGGACAACCCAGGGAAACUUGGGCUAAUACCGGAUGAGCUCCGCGAGGAGGAAAGAUUUCUCGCCGGAGGAGGGGCCCGCGUCGGAUUAGGUAGUUGGUGAGGUAACGGCUCACCAAGCCUUCGAUCCGUAGCCGGUCUGAGAGGAUGAUCGGCCACACUGGGACUGAGACACGGCCCAGACUCCUACGGGAGGCAGCAGUGGGGAAUAUUGGUCAAUGGAUGGAAGUCUGAACCAGCCAUGCCGCGUGCAGGAAGAAGGCCUUCUGGGUUGUAAACUGCUUUUGCCAGGGGAUAAAAUGACCUUGCGAGGUUAAUUGAAGGUACCUGGUGAAUAAGCACGGCUAACUACGUGCCAGCAGCCGCGGUAAU